GCGGGGCAACCUGGCGGCGAGUGGCGAACGGGUGAGUAAUAUAUCGGAACGUACCCAAGAGUGGGGGAUAACGUAGCGAAAGUUACGCUAAUACCGCAUACGAUCUAAGGAUGAAAGCAGGGGAUCUUCGGACCUUGUGCUCCUGGAGCGGCCGAUAUCUGAUUAGCUAGUUGGUGAGGUAAAGGCUCACCAAGGCCACGAUCAGUAGCUGGUCUGAGAGGACGACCAGCCACACUGGAACUGAGACACGGUCCAGACUCCUACGGGAGGCAGCAGUGGGGAAUUUUGGACAAUGGGCGAAAGCCUGAUCCAGCAAUGCCGCGUGAGUGAAGAAGGCCUUCGGGUUGUAAAGCUCUUUUGUCAGGGAAGAAACGGUGAGGGCUAAUAUCCUUCGCUAAUGACGGUACCUGAAGAAUAAGCACCGGCUAACUACGUGCCAGCAGCCGCGGUAAUACGUAGGGUGCAAGCGUUAAUCGGAAUUACUGGGCGUAAAGCGUGCGCAGGCGGUUUUGUAAGUCUGACGUGAAAUCCCCGGGCUCAACCUGGGAAUUGCGUUGGAGACUGCAAGGCUAGAAUCUGGCAGAGGGGGGUAGAAUUCCACGUGUAGCAGUGAAAUGCGUAGAGAUGUGGAGGAACACCGAUGGCGAAGGCAGCCCCCUGGGUCAAGAUUGACGCUCAUGCACGAAAGCGUGGGGAGCAAACAGGAUUAGAUACCCUGGUAGUCCACGCCCUAAACGAUGUCUACUAGUUGUCGGGUUUUAAUUAACUUGGUAACGCAGCUAACGCGUGAAGUAGACCGCCUGGGGAGUACGGUCGCAAGAUUAAAACUCAAAGGAAUUGACGGGGAC
rnacentral:rRNA from 1 species